rnacentral:rRNA from 1 species
AGCGAACGCUGGCGGCAGGCUUAACACAUGCAAGUCGAACGCAUCCUUCGGGGUGAGUGGCAGACGGGUGAGUAACACGUGGGAACGUACCUUUUGGUUCGGAACAACUGAGGGAAACUUCAGCUAAUACCGGAUACGCCCUUAUGGGGAAAGAUUUAUCGCCGAAAGAUCGGCCCGCGUCUGAUUAGCUAGUUGGUGAGGUAAUGGCUCACCAAGGCGACGAUCAGUAGCUGGUCUGAGAGGAUGAUCAGCCACACUGGGACUGAGACACGGCCCAGACUCCUACGGGAGGCAGCAGUGGGGAAUAUUGGACAAUGGGCGCAAGCCUGAUCCAGCCAUGCCGCGUGAGUGAUGAAGGCCUUAGGGUUGUAAAGCUCUUUUAUCCGGGACGAUAAUGACGGUACCGGAAGAAGAAGCCCCGGCUAACUUCGUGCCAGCCGCCGCCGUAAGAC